AUUGAACGCUGGCGGCAUGCUUUACACAUGCAAGUCGAACGGUAACAGGCCGCAAGGUGCUGACGAGUGGCGAACGGGUGAGUAAUGCAUCGGAACGUGCCCAGUCGUGGGGGAUAACGCAGCGAAAGCUGUGCUAAUACCGCAUACGAUCUGUGGAUGAAAGCGGGGGACCGUAAGGCCUGGCGGGAUUGGAGCGGCCGAUGUCAGAUUAGGUAGUUGGUGGGGUAAAGGCUCACCAAGCCGACGAUCUGUAGCUGGUCUGAGAGGACGACCAGCCACACUGGGACUGAGACACGGCCCAGACUCCUACGGGAGGCAGCAGUGGGGAAUUUUGGACAAUGGGCGCAAGCCUGAUCCAGCAAUGCCGCGUGCAGGAAGAAGGCCUUCGGGUUGUAAACUGCUUUUGUACGGAGCGAAAAGGCUCUCUCUAAUACAGGGGGCUCAUGACGGUACCGUAAGAAUAAGCACCGGCUAACUACGUGCCAGCAGCCGCCGUAAAAC
rnacentral:rRNA from 1 species